rnacentral:lncRNA from 1 species
UGUACAUAUUUCUGGACUUCAAGCCCUUACAUAAUUGUCCAUAUUUUGAGGAACUUCUGGCAUCUCAUUUAAUUGCUCAUCCAUGAGUUUAAGGAACUGCAGGUUCCAGUACAUUUGCCAGUACAGUUAUCAUCCAUGUGUACGGCAUUAUGAACCAAUACGGUACUGUUACAUCAUUAAGGAACCCCAGGUCCUUAUUUACAUGUCAGGGAUCAAGGACCCUCAAGUCCGAUCACAUGUUUACAAAUAUAGUACCAGAGAGACUGCCAGCUCUCAUAUUAACAUCAUCAUCAAGGAUCUUCAAGUCCUGAUGUAAUUGUAUGAUGAGGAUCAAGGAACUUCUGGUCCUGAUCUAUAUACUGUAAAAAAACUCAUCAUACAGCACAUUUAGUCCAUAAAAUAAAUUGCUGGUAAAUAAAUUACUGGUAUGGACGAUAAACCCGCACCAUACAUUUAAAUAAAAGUAAAGGCGUGGACGAUAAACCCGCACCACCCUUUUAAAUAAAUGUAAAUGUGCGGUAAAUUAAAUUCAUAAAUUAAAUUGCUUGCUGUAUGGACGUUAAUCCCGCACCAUACUUUAAAUAAAAUUAAAUGUGCGGUAUAGUAAACGUGCUUGUAUGGGCACUAAUUCUGCUCCAUACAUUUAAAUAAAAGCAAAGGUGUGGACGAUAAACCCGCACCACCCUUUAAAUAAAUAUUGCCGUAUGGGUAAUAAACCUACACCAUACCAUAAAUAAAAUAGAUAAGCAAAGGCGUGGACGAUAAACCCGCACCACCCUUUAAAUAAAUAUUGCCGUAUGGGUAAUAAACCUACACCAUACCAUAAAUAAAAUAGAUAAGCAAAGGCGUGGACGAUAAACCCGCACCACCCUUUAAAUAAAUGUAAAUGUGCGGUAAAUUAAAUUCGUAAAGUAAACGUGCUUGUAUGGGCACUAAUUCUGCUCCAUACAUUUAAAUAAAAGCAAAGGCGUGGGCGAUAAAUCCGCACCACCCUUUUAAAUAAAUACUGUUGUAUGAGUAAUAAACCUACACCAUACAGUAAAUAAAAUAAAUGUGCGGUAAAGUAAAUUUCAUAAAGUAAAGUGUUAGUAUUAGUAACGGUCUCCCACUGAUAAUAUGUUUAGUAUUACCAAGGUUCCAUUUUUGUUAAUGGUUAGUAAAAGAAAAGCAGAUAAAUAUAAUAGGAAAUAAUAGAGAAGAUAAGGGAGCAGAAAUCUUAUUGCUUAUGCCCUUGCUGAGUGAUCC